CAACUGGGAUUGCCUUAGUAACGGCGAGUGAAGCGGCAAAAGCUCAAAUUUGAAAUCUGGUACCUUUGGUGCCCGAGUUGUAAUUUGGAGAGUACCACUUUGGGACUGUACUUUGCCUAUGUUCCUUGGAACAGGACGUCAUGGAGGGUGAGAAUCCCGUGUGGCGAGGGUGUCAGUUCUUUGUAAAGGGUGCUCGAAGAGUCGAGUUGUUUGGGAAUGCAGCUCUAAGUGGGUGGUAAAUUCCAUCUAAAGCUAAAUACAGGCGAGAGACCGAUAGCGAACAAGUACAGUGAUGGAAAGAUGAAAAGAACUUUGAAAAGAGAGUGAAAAAGUACGUGAAAUUGUUGAAAGGGAAGGGCAUUUGAUCAGACAUGGUGUUUUGCGCCCCUUGCCUCUCGUGGGCUUGGGACUCUCGCAGCUCACUGGGCCAGCAUCGGUUUUGGCGGCCGGAAAAAACCUAGGGAAUGUGGCUCUGCGCCUCGGUGUAGAGUGUUAUAGCCCUGGGGAAUACGGCCAGUCGGGACCGAGGACUGCGAUACUUGUUAUCUAGGAUGCUGGCAUAAUGGUUAUAUGCCGCCCGUCUU
rnacentral:rRNA from 1 species